AACAAAAGGAAAUAAGAAAAAGAAAAUAGAUCGAGUAGAGUAACACACAGAGGUAAAGACACAAAUAACCUCACUGACUGACCUGAAACUGUUUCUGACUCCACCCACUGAUGCUGAACUCAACCAAUGAGAUGAUUUCUGUCUGCAGAAGUCAAACGACAGCCAGCCUGAUGUUGAGGAGAAGGACUGCAGCAGAGAGGCUGCUUAGUUUCUUCAUUCUGCUGUCUGACUAACCCAACAACUAAAGACAUGCUGCUUUACCUCAUUUUACUUUUCUCUCAUAUCAGAGAGUGUAAAGGAGAAGACAAAGUGAUCCAGGAACAAGGAGAUGUCAUUGCUGCUGAAGGAGACACAGUUACACUUGGAUGUACAUUUGAGACCAGUUACCCUGGCCCUACACUGAUUUGGUACAAGCAAGAAGUAAACAGUUACCCAAAGUAUAUGCUGAAAUGUGUCUCAGAGUCAACAGUUAAGGCUGCAGAAUUCAAUGAUGACAGAUUUGAUGCUAAAAUCAACAAGACAGAAAAGUCAGUUCCUCUGAAGAUCCAGAAGCUUCAGCUGUCUGACUCUGCUGUGUACUACUGUGCUCUGCAGCCCACAGUGACAGGAAACACCAAAACUCUGUACAAAAACCUUUGGAGCAAAGACAACAGAAUACUCCACAACAUCCACUAGAGGGAGCCA